AAAGUUUUAGUAUAAAGUUAGGUAUAAUUUAUUGUCAAUAAAUAGGUUAAAACUUUAA
rnacentral:tRNA from 1 species